rnacentral:rRNA from 1 species
UGGUCUUGACAUCCCGGAGAUCUCCUGGAAACAGGAGAGUGCUUUCAUUAGAGAGAAUCCGGUGACAGGUGCUGCAUGGCUGUCGUCAGCUCGUGUCGUGAGAUGUUGGGUUAAGUCCCGCAACGAGCGCAACCCUCGCCAUUAGUUGCCAUCAUUUAGUUGGGCACUCUAAUGGGACUGCCGGUGUCAAACCGGAGGAAGGUGGGGAUGACGUCAAGUCCUCAUGGCCUUUAUGACCAGGGCUACACACGUACUACAAUGGCCGGUACAAAGGGCAGCCACUUCGCGAGAAGGAGCAAAUCCCGUAAAGCCGGUCUCAGUCCGGAUUGGAGUCUGCAACUCGACUCCAUGAAGUUGGAAUCGCUAGUAAUCGUGGAUCAGCAUGCCACGGUGAAUACGUUCCCGGGCCU